GGAGUAUAGAUAAUUCUAUGUCGAUCGUUACACGACUUCGGUUCAUGUUAUUGUUUUAAUUCAUCGAAAAAAAGUAAAUAAAUAGUAAAAAGCUAUGAAAAAAAUAAUAUCAAUAUAAUAAAACAUUUAGUACAAAGAAAAUGCUCUAACGGAGUAUAGAUAAUUCUAUGUCGAUCGUUACACGACUUCGGUUCAUGUUAUUGUUUUAAUUCAUCGAAAAAAAGUAAAUAAAUAGUAAAAAGGUAUGAAAAAAAUAAUAAUAAUAU